rnacentral:misc_RNA from 1 species
GAAAGUCGUAACAAGGUUUCCGUAGGUGAACCUGCGGAAGGACCAUUAUUGUAUAACCGCGGUGCGAGGGCUGUCGCUGACCCGAAAGGUCGUGCACGCCCGAGUGCCCUCACACACAUCCAUCUCACCCCUAUGUGCACCACCGCGUGGGUCCCCCUUUGGCUUGUUCGGAGGGGGGCUUACGUUUUCACACAAACUUUGUAUGCAGUGUAGAAUGUAUUUUUUGUUUUUGCGAUCACGCAAUCAAUACAACUUUCAACAACGGAUCUCUUGGCUCUC